rnacentral:misc_RNA from 1 species
GUUUUUCCACUACAGGCAAGUUUGGUUGUUUUCAUGUCAUGGUUAAUCCAUUAACUUUGUCAACUUUCCGACCUGUUGAAUGCAUUUCUGUAUAGACUAAUCAAGACCUGGAAAAGUUUAGUGAAUAAUAAGCAUAAAAUUCAUGUCUCAUCUUUCAAAUUUCACAUAAAUUUAUGUCUUGGUAGUAUUUUCCUUACUUAUGGGUUCUAGUUUGCAUGGAAUGCUUCUAAUCAGGUCAAGUAUAUAAAAAUUGGGUAAUUUGUUCUAAAACAUAAUACAUACAAAGAUACAUACUGCAUUUUGGAAAAUAGAUUAUUUAAUCCCUAAGGUUUGGUAUGCUUCCAUCAACAAUUAAGUCAUUCCAUCUAUUUUUAAUCAAUUUGACCGUUAGUCAUACUUGAAAAGAGUAAAAUACCAUUCCUUUCCCCUAUCCCUAUUACUCUCCCCCUGUUUCUGCUUCUAUCUCUCCCAUUUCUCUCUCUUUCUCAAUCUAUCUCUCUGUCUCUCAAGUGUCUCUCUCCCCCUCUGUCUCCCUUGUUUCUCUCUCUCUCUCUCU